CUGAAGCUCCACACCCAAUGAAGUACAGGAGCACUGACACGAAUGAAUAGCUGUCGCAGGUUUUACUCCAUCUCGAACGUCUACAAAUUACCAGACAAGAAGUCCUGACUCUUCUCCUUAUCACAGAGCCGGGGCGAUACCUGGCAGUCAUGGGGGAUCUGCACCAAGACGCUGCCCAAUAUGCAGCUAUGAUUCCUCGUUAUGCCUCGAGACAUGAUGUUGGAGCUGCAGAUGAGGAACAUUAUGUGUUCACAGUGUACAUAGGCCACUGCUUGCUGGUUGGGAUGACAACAGCGGACGUGCUCAUGAUGAUAGAGGACAGAAGGAGAAUGUUUCUGAAUCUUCUAUAAUGGGAUAAGACUGUGUUGGAGUCUAUUGCAAAACCAAUACAUUUAUAUGGCCAAUACUUGUACUGCCACUAUUUGGUCUCUAUUUUUAGAGAUUUGUAUUGAUUUUUAUAUUGUAUAAUUUUGUAUAAUUGUACAAUACAACCAGUCAUUAUGUCACCUUCCUUCU